rnacentral:rRNA from 1 species
AUUGAACGCUGGCGGCAGGCCUAACACAUGCAAGUCGAACGAGUGGCGGACGGGUGAGUAAUGUCUGGGAAACUGCCUGAUGGAGGGGGAUAACUACUGGAAACGGUAGCUAAUACCGCAUACCAUCGGAUGUGCCCAGAUGGGAUUAGCUAGUAGGUGGGGUAAAGGCUCGCCGAGGCGACGAUCCCUAGCGGGUCGGAGAGGCUGACCGGCAACACUGGAACUGAGACAGGGCCCAGACUCCUAGGGAAGGCAGCAGUGGGGAAUAUGGCACAAGGGGGGCAAUCCUGCUGCAGACAUGCCGGGUGUAGGAAGAGGGCCUUCGGGUUGUAAAGUACGUUCAGCGGGGAGGCGUUACCCGCAGAAGAAGCAACGGCUAACUCCGUGCCAGCAGCCGCGGUAAUAC